AUGAGAAUUCUGCAGAUACCACUAAACUUCCAAGCUUUUGAUGAUUUCAUUGCAUGGCACCUAACAAAGCAUGGAAGAUUUUCGGUGAAGAGUGCUUAUCAUGAACAAUGGUCACACAAAUACAGGGGUCAAUAUCCUUCAAAUUCAGCGUCCACCAGUAAUUUGCAAGUAGCAAUUUGGAAGAAGCUUUGGGAGUUACAAGUGCCACGGAAGAUUCAGAUUUUUUGUUGGCGGGCAUUGCGGGGAAUUAUCCCGUUGAAAUCCAUCCUUGCUAAUAAGCAUAUACCAGUUGAUGGCGCAUGCCCAGUGUGUCACAAGGGACCCGAAGAUAUGAGGCAUAUGUUGUUUCAAUGUGACUUGGCAAAGAAACUAUGGGCUGGUUUGGGCCUGUCAGAUCGGAUCGACUUUGCAGUACAAGUGGAUAGAUCAGGCUUCGCCAUUUUAGAGUUUCUAUUGCUGGAGCCGGAGGAACCUUUGGUGAUCAUGCCAAGCUUAAAGGAAAAGGAGGUGAUUGCGGCUGGAUGCUGGUACCUCUGGUGGCUCCGUCGGCGACACACCCACCAUGAAUCAGUCCCUCCUUACUUAAGAUGGCAUAUUUCCAUCCUAGCUGUGGUGAAAAAUUACAUGAAUACAGUGACAAAGAAGAGAGAACCAGUGGAACAAAAGUGA
rnacentral:rRNA from 1 species